GGAAAGGCGCGCGAUACAGGGUGACAGCCCCGUACACAAAAAUGCACAUGCUGUGAGCUCGAUGAGUAGGGCGGGACACGUGGUAUCCUGUCUGAAUAUGGGGGGACCAUCCUCCAAGGCUAAAUACUCCUGACUGACCGAUAGUGAACCAGUACCGUGAGGGAAAGGCGAAAAGAACCCCGGCGAGGGGAGUGAAAAAGAACCUGAAACCGUGUACGUACAAGCAGUGGGAGCACGCUUAGGCGUGUGACUGCGUACCUUUUGUAUAAUGGGUCAGCGACUUAUAUUCUGUAGCAAGGUUAACCGAAUAGGGGAGCCGAAGGGAAACCGAGUCUUAACUGGGCGUUAAGUUGCAGGGUAUAGACCCGAAACCCGGUGAUCUAGCCAUGGGCAGGUUGAAGGUUGGGUAACACUAACUGGAGGACCGAACCGACUAAUGUUGAAAAAUUAGCGGAUGACUUGUGGCUGGGGGUGAAAGGCCAAUCAAACCGGGAGAUAGCUGGUUCUCCCCGAAAGCUAUUUAGGUAGCGCCUCGUGAAUUCAUCUCCGGGGGUAGAGCACUGUUUCGGCAAGGGGGUCAUCCCGACUUACCAACCCGAUGCAAACUGCGAAUACCGGAGAAUGUUAUCACGGGAGACACACGGCGGGUGCUAACGUCCGUCGUGAAGAGGGAAACAACCCAGACCGCCAGCUAAGGUCCCAAAGUCAUGGUUAAGUGGGAAACGAUGUGGGAAGGCCCAGACAGCCAGGAUGUUGGCUUAGAAGCAGCCAUCAUUUAAAGAAAGCGUAAUAGCUCACUGGUCGAGUCGGCCUGCGCGGAAGAUGUAACGGGGCUAAACCAUGCACCGAAGCUGCGGCAGCGACGCUGAUGCGUUGUUGGGUAGGGGAGCGUUCUGUAAGCCUGCGAAGGUGUGCUGUGAGGCAUGCUGGAGGUAUCAGAAGUGCGAAUGCUGACAUAAGUAACGAUAAAGCGGGUGAAAAGCCCGCUCGCCGGAAGACCAAGGGUUCCUGUCCAACGUUAAUCGGGGCAGGGUGAGUCGACCCCUAAGGCGAGGCCGAAAGGCGUAGUCGAUGGGAAACAGGUUAAUAUUCCUGUACUUGGUGUUACUGCGAAGGGGGGACGGAGAAGGCUAUGUUGGCCGGGCGACGGUUGUCCCGGUUUAAGCGUGUAGGCUGGUUUUCCAGGCAAAUCCGGAAAAUCAAGGCUGAGGCGUGAUGACGAGGCACUACGGUGCUGAAGCAACAAAUGCCCUGCUUCCAGGAAAAGCCUCUAAGCAUCAGGUAACAUCAAAUCGUACCCCAAACCGACACAGGUGGUCAGGUAGAGAAUACCAAGGCGCUUGAGAGAACUCGGGUGAAGGAACUAGGCAAAAUGGUGCCGUAACUUCGGGAGAAGGCACGCUGAUAUGUAGGUGAAGUCCCUCGCGGAUGGAGCUGAAAUCAGUCGAAGAUACCAGCUGGCUGCAACUGUUUAUUAAAAACACAGCACUGUGCAAACACGAAAGUGGACGUAUACGGUGUGACGCCUGCCCGGUGCCGGAAGGUUAAUUGAUGGGGUCAGCGCAAGCGAAGCUCUUGAUCGAAGCCCCGGUAAACGGCGGCCGUAACUAUAACGGUCCUAAGGUAGCGAAAUUCCUUGUCGGGUAAGUUCCGACCUGCACGAAUGGCGUAAUGAUGGCCAGGCUGUCUCCACCCGAGACUCAGUGAAAUUGAACUCGCUGUGAAGAUGCAGUGUACCCGCGGCAAGACGGAAAGACCCCGUGAACCUUUACUAUAGCUUGACACUGAACAUUGAGCCUUGAUGUGUAGGAUAGGUGGGAGGCUUUGAAGUGUGGACGCCAGUCUGCAUGGAGCCGACCUUGAAAUACCACCCUUUAAUGUUUGAU
rnacentral:rRNA from 1 species